rnacentral:rRNA from 1 species
UACGUAGGGGGCUAGCGUUGUCCGGAAUCAUGGGGCGUAAAGAGCGUGUAGGCGGCCAGAUAAGUCCGCUGUGAAAUCUCGAGGCUCAACUUCGAGCUGUCGGUGGAAACUGUCUGGCUAGAGUCCGGAAGAGGAGAAUGGAAUUCCUGGUGUAGCGGUGAAAUGCGCAGAUAUCAGGAAGAACACCCGUGGCGAAGGCGGCUCUCUGGGACGUGACUGACGCUGAGACGCGAAAGCGUGGGGAGCGAACAGG